UCAUUGGGUGUUACAAAACCUAAAGGCGAAAUGAAAGUAAAGAGCUGUCUUUUGACUCUCUAGGGAGGAUGAGMUACUGCUCUGGUUGUUCUAACCGACKACUGAGYGUGUCUCCGCACUCCCGGGGCGAUUCUUUCUCAUUGCGAGUGGAGGCGCACCAAGAGCGAGCACGCUGAAACCCGAAAGAUGGUGAACUAUGCCUGGCCAGGACGAAGCCAGGGGAAACCCUGGUGGAGGUCCGCAGCGAUUCUGACGUGCAAAUCGAUCGUCGGAGCUGGGUAUAGGGGCGAAAGACCAAUCGAA
rnacentral:rRNA from 1 species